UCUAAUCCAAUAAGAGAUAUCCACUUUAAAUUGUGAAGUAGCAGAUUUUUUUUGGUUACCAUGCUAUGUAAGGCAAACAAACUGCUGACCAUCCAAUAUUUAUCGACGUCUGAUAAAAUUCUCUUGAAUGACUUUAUUUCUUGCAUCUUAACUAGGAACACUAAUUGAAACCCAAGGGUUCAUCCCUUUCGAAAAACUCUCUAUAAGCAUGUAGAUGUUUAUGGAAAAGCUGUACGAGAGAAUUUGUGAAAAAAUUGAGACUUGUUAGCAUAUAGACGUUUAUGGAGAAACUCAAAUCAAUUAUUACAAAA
rnacentral:lncRNA from 1 species